GCAUAAUAAUAAAAUGAAAAAAUAUCAAUAUAUUUUUAUUGGUAUGAACGUGACAGGCUUUGGGCGGUGUGUUGGGGUCCAGGUUUUUUUGUCUAAUCGAUAGAAAUUUAGAAAUCUAAUAAAAAAUAUGAAAAAAUAUUAAAACAGUUUUCGAAAGUGAGGGCGUGGCAGUUUUGGGUGGUUUAUAGGCGUUACAGUGGGCCUGGUAAUAUGGCUCAACCUUCUAGCUUUUAUGGUUACUGAGAUCGAAUAGAUCAAGAAAUUAUAUACUUAAUAUGGUCGGAAACGUUUCUUUGUACCUGUUACCCUUUUACUUUACGAGUAACGUUUAUAAAAACAAAAAAAUUAGCUUAUUUUCAUGUCGCAUACAUUUGUUUGGAGUAUAUUUAUAUUUAAUAAAUUGUCCAUUUAAUUCCAAAAUGUUUGGAAUACAUUAAUACUAUGACUUUCAGAGCUUGAUUACACUUCAAUAUUAAGAUUCCGAGAAACCAACGAAAUGCCAAUUAUGAAAUGACCUUAAAACUAUGCGGGUUAUUGCAGAAAUGGUAUUUGGAAGCCCAACCCAGUUGCAAUAUAUUAUCAACGGCCCGUUUGGACCGUAUCUGUACAUCAACGACAACGAGGAGCUUUGAAAACCGAAAGCUUUUGGCUCCAGAAUUAGCAUCAGGAUCGAGGACGAAAAUAGUCCAGAAACAGUGAGAAUUAAUUGUAUUACAUGCUAUAAAUUUUAAAGCUGGAGUAUUACGAAAACAUUCUUUCAUAAAUUUUGAUGGAUGGCCAACCAACUUCAAAACAAGCACUUGAAACCCAUGGGAGAGCGUGACGGAGAUCUCGAUAUGGUUGGCGUAUGUAUGUGGCACUGAAAGAAGAGACUGAUGCAAAAUGUAGAAAAGCCCAAACACACAGCAGCACUUGUCAAGACUUGGCUCGUCUGGAAAUGCACUCACGUAUUUAGAAAUUACGCCAGCAGUCCGCAGACAUGUAAUCAAAAAUUUGACAGCCUUAAAGACGGAUUUGCUUUUGUCUUUCUUAGUCUAGCAGCAAUUUCCCAACUGCGCGAAACAAGCUGUGACCUACGGUAGUUUGAGUGAAUAAAUGUAUAUAAAUGAAGAGUAUAA